rnacentral:rRNA from 1 species
AACGAACGCUGGCGGCAGGCUUAACACAUGCAAGUCGAACGCAUCCUUCGGGGUGAGUGGCAGACGGGUGAGUAACGAGUGGGAACGUGCCCUUCAGUUCGGGAUAUCCCAGGGAAACUUGGGCUAAUACCGGAUACGUGCGCGAGCAGACAGAUUUCUCGCUGAAGGAUCGGCCCGCGUCUGAUUAGCUAGUUGGUGGGGUAAUGGCCCACCAAGGCGACGAUCAGUAGCUGGUCUGAGAGGAUGAUCAGCCACACUGGGACUGAGACACGGCCCAGACUCCUACGGGAGGCAGCAGUGGGGAAUCUUGGACAAUGGGCGCAAGCCUGAUCCAGCCAUGCCGCGUGAGUGAAGAAGGUCUUCGGAUUGUAAAGCUCUUUUGCCAGGGACGAUAAUGACGGUACCUGGAGAAUAAGCCCCGGCAAACUUCGUGCCAGCCGCCGCAGUAAUAC